GCAAGUCCUUCCACGUUCAUUAUUGUUGUGGACUGUGGAAUGAUUGUUGUGCUGAGGCCUGAGGUGGGUACCGGUUGCUUUGUUGUUUAAACUUUUCAAGUUUGAAGCAAUCAAUUCAGGAGAAUUCCUGCCUUUUGAGGUCCAAUGAUGGCUAGUUUUUUUGCUUGUUAUGGCACCUAACACUCACUCAUUCCUGAUCCCUUUUUCUCUUCAUUCCUUGUUGAACUCGGAACUUUUUUGCUUGUUAUAUAUAGUGAUGAUCUUUUCCCAUCUGCUUUGGUUUGCCUUAUAUCAGUUCAUACUAGCCUGAUCUAGCAGCACUAAGGUGUGAUGUUAUCAGCAGCACAUUGUCCAACUUGACUUGUACUAACUUCAUACUCCAAGAUUGAAGAGUUAGGCAUUGAUUCUAGGAAUGGUUGGAUAAGUUCAGUUCGUUCGUACAGUAGGCAAGGCAGCCUUGUUGGCGGGAUGAGUGCCAGCCAAGGAAAGGAUAGCAUUGUACAAGACACUUCCCAAGGAAUGAUUUUAGCUGUAUGUCUUGUCUCUUAAUUGAACUUCAACCCCCAAUUUCAUCAUUCUUUAGCCUUAGCACCCAAUAAUUUCCAGUUAAAGCUUGAUUUCUCUAUCUCUCCCUGAUGAUUUGAACCAAAAAACUGUUUACUAAAGAUUUUAUCUGCAAAAAAUUGUUUUAUAACAGAGAUUCCAACUUCCGAAUCUAAGAACUCACUGAAUGAAUCCUUGUUCUAUGUAAUAUAUAUACCAUUUUAUACACAGGUAUACAACCAAUAGAGAAGCAUGGAAAACUUGUGGAAAUAUCAAAUAUCUACGACUAACAUUUGAUCUUCUCUUCGGCGGCAAUGGAAUUUUUGCAGUGAGCAAUUGCAGCUUGAAUAGCAGCCUGCAACUCCUCCAUGGUGCUGUCGCUAGAAGGAGAAGGAAUAGUGCAAAGAAGGCCAC
rnacentral:lncRNA from 1 species